CCUACGGGAGGCAGCAGUGGGGAAUAUUGGACAAUGGGGGGAACCCUGAUCCAGCCAUGCCGCGUGUGUGAAGAAGGCCCUCGGGUUGUAAAGCACUUUCAGUGAGGAAGAACGCCUGGUGGUGAAUACCCAUCAGGAAAGACAUCACUCACAGAAGAAGCACCGGCUAACUCCGUGCCAGCAGCCGCGGUAAUACGGAGGGUGCGAGCGUUAAUCGGAAUUACUGGGCGUAAAGCGCGCGUAGGUGGCUUGAUAAGCCGGUUGUGAAAGCCCCGGGCUCAACCUGGUGAACGGCAUCCGGAACUGUCAAGCUAGAGUGCAGGAGAGGAAGGUAGAAUUCCCGGUGUAGCGGUGAAAUGCGUAGAGAUCGGGAGGAAUACCAGUGGCGAAGGCGGCCUUCUGGACUGACACUGACACUGAGGUGCGAAAGCGUGGGUAGCAAACAGGAUUAGAUACCCUUGUAGUC
rnacentral:rRNA from 1 species